rnacentral:rRNA from 1 species
GAACGCUGGCGGCGUGCCUAAUACAUGCAAGUCGAGCGAACAGACGAGGAGCUUGCUCCUCUGACGUUAGCGGCGGACGGGUGAGUAACACGUGGAUAACCUACCUAUAAGACUGGGAUAACUUCGGGAAACCGGAGCUAAUACCGGAUAAUAUAUUUAACCGCAUGGUUCAAUAGUGAAAGACGGUUUUGCUGUCACUUAUAGAUGGAUCCGCGCCGCAUUAGCUAGUUGGUAAGGUAACGGCUUACCAAGGCAACGAUGCGUAGCCGACCUGAGAGGGUGAUCGGCCACACUGGAACUGAGACACGGUCCAGACUCCUACGGGAGGCAGCAGUAGGGAAUCUUCCGCAAUGGGCGAAAGCCUGACGGAGCAACGCCGCGUGAGUGAUGAAGGUCUUCGGAUCGUAAAACUCUGUUAUUAGGGAAGAACAAAUGUGUAAGUAACUAUGCACGUCUUGACGGUACCUAAUCAGAAAGCCACGGCUAACUACGUG